GCCGGCGUAGCUCAACGGUAGAGCGGCGGUUUUGUAAACCGCAGGUUCUGGGUUCGAAUCCCAGCGCCGGCU
rnacentral:tRNA from 1 species